CAAUAGCGUAUAUUAAAGUUGUUGCAGUUAAAAAGCUCGUAGUUGGAUUUCUGGUCGGAAGCUCCUGUCCUCUGAUGAGCGUACAAGUGCGUCCUACCAUCCUUCUGUUAACCUUUAAGGCUUUCGCGGCUUUCUAGGGGCUCAGAUAUUUUACCUUGAGAAAAUUAGAGUGUUUCAGGCAGGCUAGCGCCGGAAUACAUUAGCAUGGAAUAAUGGAAUAGGACCUUUGCCUCUUCUGUUGGUCAUGAGGCUCGAGUAAUGAUUAAUAGGGAUAGUUGGGGGCAUUAGUACUUAACUGUCAGAGGUGAAAUUCUCGGAUUUGUUAAAGACUAACUUAUGCGAAAGCAUUUGCCAAGGAUGUUUNCAUUA
rnacentral:rRNA from 1 species